UACGUAGGGACCGAGCGUUGUCCGGAAUCAUUGGGCGUAAAGCGCGCGUAGGUGGCCAUUUAAGUCCGCUGUGAAAGUCAAAGGCUCAACCUUUGAAAGCCGGUGGAUACUGGAUGGCUAGAGUACGGAAGAGGCGAGUGGAAUUCCUGGUGUAGCGGUGGAAUGCGCAGAUAUCAGGAGGAACACCAAUAGCGAAGGCAGUCUCUGGGACGUUACUGACACUGAGGCGCGAAAGCGUGGGGAGCGAACAGGA
rnacentral:rRNA from 1 species